rnacentral:rRNA from 1 species
GAAUAUUGGUCAAUGGGCGAGAGCCUGAACCAGCCAUGCCGCGUGCAGGAUGACGGCCUUCUGGGUUGUAAACUGCUUUUCUACAGGAAGAAAAAGGCCUUGCGAGGCAAAUUGCCGGUAUUGUAGGAAUAAGCACCGGCUAACUCCGUUCCAGCAGCCGCGGUAAUACGGAGGGUGCAAGCGUUGUCCGGAUUUAUUGGGUUUAAAGGGUGCGUAGGCGGAAUGCUAAGUCAGUGGUGAAAGCCAGCAGCUCAACUGUUGAACUGCCAUUGAUACUGGUAUUCUUGAAUUCUGUUAAGGUAGGCGGAAUUGAUGGUGUAGCGGUGAAAUGCAUAGAUACCAUCAGGAACUCCGAUUGCGAAGGCAGCUUACUGGGCAUGAAUUGACGCUGAGGCACGAAAGCGUGGGGAGCGAACAGG